UGAGCAAUCUGCCCUUCUCAUCGGAAUAAGCGUUGGAAACGAUGUCUAAUGCCGAAUACGACCUCCUUUCGCAUGAUCGGAGGUGGAAAGCUCCGGCGGAGAAGGAUGAGCUCGCGGCCUAUCAGCUAGUUGGUGUGGGUAAUGGCCCACCAAGGCGACGACGGGUAGCCGGCCUGAGAGGGUGACCGGCCACACUGGGACUGAGACACGGCCCAGCUCCGUAGGAGG
rnacentral:rRNA from 1 species